rnacentral:rRNA from 1 species
AUUGAACGCUGGCGGCAGGCCUAACACAUGCAAGUCGAACGGUAACAGGAAGAAGCUUGCUUCUUUGCUGACGAGUGGCGGACGGGUGAGUAAUGUCUGGGAAACUGCCUGAUGGAGGGGGAUAACUACUGGAAACGGUAGCUAAUACCGCAUAACGUCGCAAGACCAAAGAGGGGGACCUUCGGGCCUCUUGCCAUCGGAUGUGCCCAGAUGGGAUUAGCUUGUUGGUGGGGUAACGGCUCACCAAGGCGACGAUCCCUAGCUGGUCUGAGAGGAUGACCAGCCACACUGGAACUGAGACACGGUCCAGACUCCUACGGGAGGCAGCAGUGGGGAAUAUUGCACAAUGGGCGCAAGCCUGAUGCAGCCAUGCCGCGUGUAUGAAGAAGGCCUUCGGGUUGUAAAGUACUUUCAGCGGGGAGGAAGGGAGUAAAGUUAAUACCUGUGCUCAUUGACGUUACCCGCAGAAGAAGCACCGGCUAACUCCGU